rnacentral:rRNA from 1 species
CCUACGGGGGCUGCAGUGGGGAAUAUUGGACAAUGGGCGAAAGCCUGAUCCAGCCAUGCCGCGUUUGUGAAGAAGGCCUUCGGGUUGUAAAGCACUUUCAGUGGGGAAGAAAGCCUUGGGGCUAAUACCCUCGAGGAAGGACAUCACCCACAGAAGAAGCACCGGCUAACUCCGUGCCAGCAGCCGCGGUAAUACGGAGGGUGCGAGCGUUAAUCGGAAUUACUGGGCGUAAAGCGCGCGUAGGCGGUCUGAUAAGCCGGUUGUGAAAGCCCCGGGCUCAACCUGGGAACGGCAUCCGGAACUGUCAGGCUAGAGUGCAGGAGAGGAAGGUAGAAUUCCCGGUGUAGCGGUGAAAUGCGUAGAGAUCGGGAGGAAUACCAGUGGCGAAGGCGGCCUUCUGGACUGACACUGACGCUGAGGUGCGAAAGCGUGGGUAGCAAACAGGAUUAGAUACCCGGGUAGUC